rnacentral:misc_RNA from 1 species
UCACCACUUUUAUCCCCAGAAAUUUCAGUGCUACCCAUGUCACUUUGGAUUUCUUUAGCGUGGGGUGAACUAUCAGCACCAGUACUCUCUUUGAAUGGAGAAUCUCGGAAUUCAUGCAAUUGGCUCUCUGUUGGACUUCUUCCAGCACCAGCAGGACUGUCUGGCAGACUCCUUGCCGUGCCAUUCUCACUAUGGUCGUGAGUUGAUUCUUUCUCUUGAACUGGUUCACCCAGUCUUGCAUCGUUCUCUGACAUUGCUGCAGCCUUUGAGGGGGAAGCACUUAAAUCCUCAUUUGUGGGAGUGGUUACUUUUUGAACUAAAGACUUCUGUUUUGGAGGGGCAACAACAUUUUGCACAUCCAGAGUGAGCUC